CUGAUCAACUGUCAAUGGUAGGGACCCAGGACAGAGUCUUUCUUAACACGGUCUCAAAGGGAAUAAGCUAGGUAGGUAAUUGGCUAUCUAUCAAUCUACUGCAUAUGGAGAACUGACAUUUUAGCUUCUGACCCAAAGCCCACUAAAGUCAAAGAGAGACUUCUUCCCACUGACCGUCAUGGCUAGUAAGUCGAGCACACAGAUAGACUGUCAGCUUGGUUGAGAUCGUAACAAACGAACUAGCAAACGAUUUUCCAGCGGGUAUGGUGAAAAACAUUUUUUUUUAGAAAAUUGUCUACAAAUCGGUGACUUAUCUGUUAAAACACCCUCUAGACUAGUCACCUUGAAACCUAGGUCUGUCCAUCCGGACCCUCUGCUUUCUGAUCUUUCCCAUCUUUGAAGGUAGAGUUUUCUUGCCCUUUUAAUAUGAAAUACUUGGUUGUUUUGUAAGUAACAAGCCCUCUCCCCGCCCCCGUCCCCCAAAAGUGUACUUUUGGCUCAAGUGAUACAUACAGCAACAUCGGAAGAAAUCAACAAGCCACAUAACUGUGAGCAGAUAAAAACCCCAAACUUGGCCUGAGACGGAAAGAAAUGGAUCCUGUCCCCAAAGAAAGAGGGGAAGCGUUAUUUGCUGUUGGGUGGCACUGAAUACAGACCAUCAUCUGCACGGUCCAUACUAACAUCCGCUUUCUUUGCCCACUGCCCCCCCUCCCUCCCAAAGCUGGCCCGUCCUCUGUCCAGAAAGCACCCGUCCUAUCUGCCCUGCAGAUCUUAAUUCCAUAACAAAAAUGUUUGCAAGGCUCCAGGAAGUGCCAUCUUUGUGCUAAGAAAACAGCCGCUAUCAAGGCGCCUGAGAAAGCGAUCAAGACCCCCCAAAGGCCACUGGGUAAACCAUCCAGCUGCGUAGAAUGGUUUGGGCUCCGCAUCCUUUUAACCACAUAAUAACAGGACCGUGUCUGAAGUGUUGCUACUCAAGAUUUAGGAUGGUUCUCCAUUUCUAGCCUUUUCUCAGCGAGAAGGGCCAUUUCCAGGCACUUUCGCUUGUACCUGGAAUUAGGGGGAAUUUAAUGAAGAUGCUAAAGGUAGGUUUAGGGGUGAAACAGAGCCUUGAGGAUGUUCAUUAUAACACUUUGGAAAUUAAUCUGCCAUAUUCUAAUCUCGAUUUUAAAAGCAGUUCUGGUCAAAUCAGUCGAAGGUAUUCCGGAUAUUGGGAAAUCGGUGGGGAAAAUGAUGCCCACUCUAGGUGUUAAAUCCUUUUAUCAGCUGCCGCUAAUCGUGUCUCUCUUUACAGGUCUUGGGGGGCAUUUGUGCUAAAGAUAAAUCCAGGCUGUUGUAACCAUUCGAUCGGCUACAAUCUAUGCAGCUGGUAAGAAAGGGAAACAAGAUAAGUCUCUGGCCCCAAACUGCUUGGUUUUAGAGGGGAGGAAAAGUGCACAGUUUUAUUGUGUGCCAGAGACUUGACACAUUGCCUGCUGCUUUAUUGACAAAGUUAAGCAAAUCACACUUAAAAACAUGAUUCCUAGGCUCUGUUAUAAUGAAGCAUAUAUGUUUUUAGGGCUUGUUACAGUCUAUUGACUAUUUUCUGAAUAGUGGCCAUUGUAUUUCACUCGCAAAAGUAAAUCAUGCAAACAACCCUCAACAAUGGUUUGUGGUUUUCCUACACAUGCUGACUUUAACCUCCCCACAUCAAACCACACCCUUUUCUCUUGUAGCCAGUCUUCCCCUCCCCUUUCUAAUCUCUUCUUUUUAAAAUUGGUUUAAAAAGAAAAAAAGAUAUCCAGUGUGAAGGUGUAUGGAUCAAAGAGCAAUCGGAGAGAUCAAACAUCUUCUAGUCAACCGGGGUAAAUGUGGCUAACCAUCAAUGAGAAAACAAUGGAACACAAUUAUGUUCUCCUCUAACUGCUGUGUUUUACCGACAAUAAAGGAAAUAAAAUAUACUCGUGUUCUUCUGCA